ACAGUGGCGUGUCUUCAUCUCAGUGUGUUUCUACAGCCCGGGAUUUUUUACCCCUAACAUCCUGUUUGGCAUUCCUCGAACCCUACGCUCUAGUCCGGGUUCUUGUGUAGCGGCCACGCUGACAACCAAGCACGCCUGACGGGCCUGAUCUCUGAAACGACACAAAAGAGGGUUCGAAGAGCAAGGCCCUCUUCGGAAGCCGUGGAGAUAUCUGACGGGGUCGCCGUGGUUACGUCCAUGCGAUGACAACGUACUAUAGGUGACUGCGCACAAAUGCAUGCGUGAUGAAUGGAGGUCGCCGCGUGGAGAGCUGACCCGCCCCCCCCGAAAAAUAAAAGAGGAUGUGUCGUCAUCAUCAAACAAAGCAAAAAUAUACACAGUUAGUUCCAAAGGUCGUUUUGUUACUUGCUUAUCAGGUACUAAAGCGAUUAGCGCUCUGCGCGGGCGAGUGCAAAAAAAGUAGCAAAGCAGUAUUUUAAUAUAUGUUAAAUAUAUUUCAAACACUUCAAUAUUGUCUCAAUCUGUAGUUUGUUAGUUUUGCGGCCUUCAUCAAACUUGUUUUACGCUGGUUUGUGACACUUUGUCAAAAGAGGAAAGGACACGUUUGGCCUCUGGCUGUAGACAUAUUGGCCCCUCAUUAAUGUAAGCAAGCGGGGGGUCUCACAGACAGACAAACACAAACAGCCUGGGGGGUAAACAUUGACAAUUCAGUGGAACGCAGAUGUGGAUCCAGAAGCUUCUCGUCAAGUGUCUUUUAAAUGAACCCCCGAUUUUGCGUUGGGAGCCUCACACACACUGCGGUGGGAGAAUAAGCCCAAACAAAGUCUCAGAAAUUUAAUUUAGUGUGAUUUAAGGAGAUCAGGAAGGCAAUAAGAGUGUCUUGUCCUCUUUUAGUUUGUUUUUUAUUGUAUUUUUUUUUGUCUAUCGCGUUUGGUCAUUCGGGUCAUGGGUAAGUGGAGCAGCCUGGACUGGUUGCCAGUCGUUGGCAGGGCACAAUCAUGAAAUAUUUGCGAGGAGGAAGUUGGUGGGCCCUUGUUCUGUUUUUGUGAUCUGAACCUCUCUGUUUGUCCUAUCUGGGCACCCACGGCAAAUGUCCAGCCAGCUUGCCCACGGCCAAGAGCAUGUGGGUGCAGCUCACUCACUACGUUGAGUGACACAGAGGAGCUAUUCUUCGCGUCGCUCUCAGCGUUUAAUCUCAUUUGCAGGGUUCACUCGAAAAUGUCACCUGAGGACUUUUCUAGAUCGACUUUGUCAGCUUGGGUGUUUAAUGUACACACACCAGUGGCAACACCUGCAUGUACUUUUGGACUCUGGCAAUGAUGUCAUUGGAAUGAGAGUGCAGGUGUACCUGAAGUUCCUGAAGCGACUCACCUGGUCUGAAUUGACGCUCAGCUUCCUCUGGACGAUCCCGUGAAUCUCUCCGUUUCUGUCCGGUACGGGUGUGCUCCCUCUGGACCCCCCACCUCGCUCCUCCUCUGCCUCGACGCUAUGGUCCCGCCGCUCAUCUCCAUUUUCUGACCUCUUGUCCUCGUCGUCUUGUCGGUGCGUCUCAGCUUCCUCUUCAUCUUCGAAAGGUAACGGGAUCCCGUCAUUGACGUACUCCUUCAGACACUUGAUGUUGUGCUUCUUCAGGAGCUGCUCCGUGUCCGGGUCCACCACGAUGAGCUCCAGCCGACCCGGAGUGGAUCUUAUCCGGCCCACGACUUGCUGGUGGCUCUCGUUCUCCACGUCGUCCCCGUUGACGAACACCAGGCGGUCCCCGGCGCGGAGCCCCGCCGAUUCAGCCGGGCUGUCAGGCUCCACCAGGCGUAUGAACUGGCCAGUUUUGCCCUUCUCCCCGUGGAGGUGGAAGCCGUAGCCGUUGUCGCCUUUAUCCAGCGUACAGAGCCGGGGCCGUAAGUAUUGGCUUUUACUCGGCAUGGUCGGUUGCUUCUCUCGACCGAGGCUCAACCUGUUGCUCAAUACCCGUGGAAAAGACUCGAAGAGCGGAGCCGGAGUGAUGCUGCUGCUUCUCCUGAGUGGGGAGUGUCAAACGAAAAAGUGCGAGCGCUGCCAACAAAUACUCGAGCGCACUUUUUACCGAGUAACGGGUUCAAAGUCUGACUGGGGGCUGUGGUCCUCUGCGUGACCCGCUUGCAGCGUGGGGCGAAG